rnacentral:rRNA from 1 species
GGUGCUGCAUGGCUGUCGUCAGCUCGUGUCGUGAGAUGUUGGGUUAAGUCCCGCAACGAGCGCAACCCUUGUUCACUGUUGCCAGCACGUUAUGGUGGGGACUCAGUGGAGACCGCCGGGGUCAACUCGGAGGAAGGUGGGGAUGACGUCAAGUCAUCAUGCCCCUUAUGUCCAGGGCUUCACGCAUGCUACAAUGGCUGGUACAGAGAGUGGCGAGCCUGUGAGGGUGAGCGAAUCUCGGAAAGCCGGUCUCAGUUCGGAUUGGGGUCUGCAACUCGACCUCAUGAAGUCGGAGUCGCUAGUAAUCGCAGAUCAGCAACGCUGCGGUGAAUACGUUCCCGGGUCUUGUACACAC